rnacentral:rRNA from 1 species
GACGAACGCUGGCGGCGUGCCUAAUACAUGCAAGUAGAACGCACAGUUUAUACCGUAGCUUGCUACACCAUAGACUGUGAGUUGCGAACGGGUGAGUAACGCGUAGGUAACCUGCCUGGUAGCGGGGGAUAACUAUUGGAAACGAUAGCUAAUACCGCAUAAUAUUAAUUAAUGCAUGAUAAUUAAUUGAAAGGUGCAAUUGCACCACUACCAGAUGGACCUGCGUUGUAUUAGCUAGUAGGUGAGGUAACGGCUCACCUAGGCGACGAUACAUAGCCGACCUGAGAGGGUGAUCGGCCACACUGGGACUGAGACACGGCCCAGACUCCUACGGGAGGCAGCAGUAGGGAAUCUUCGGCAAUGGACGAAAGUCUGACCGAGCAACGCCGCGUGAGUGAAGAAGGUUUUCGGAUCGUAAAGCUCUGUUGUAAGAGAAGAACGGGUGUGAGAGUGGAAAGUUCACACUGUGACGGUAUCUUACCAGAAAGGGACGGCUAACUACGUG